GACGAACGCUGGCGGCGUGCUUAACACAUGCAAGUCGAACGGAAAGGCCUUUUCUGUGGGACUCGCGUGGCGGACGGGUGAGUAAGACGUAGGUGAGCUGCCCUGCACUCUGUGUUGAGCAUGUUAAACUGGGUCUAAUACAGGAUAGGUCCGCACUUCUGUGGGUGUGGGGGGAAGGUAUUUCGGUGUGGGAUGGGCCCGCGGCCUCUCAGCUUGAUGGUGGGGGAAUGGCCUACCAAGGCGGCGGCGGGGAGGCGGACUGGGAGGUUGGGCGGCCACCAUGGGACUGAGGGUAGGCCCAGAAUCCCAACGGGGGCAGGAGGGGGGAAUAUUUGACAAUGGGGGCAAGCCCGAUGCAGGGAAGCCGCGUGGGGGAAGACGGCCUUCGGGUUGGAAACCCCCUUCGCCAUGGACCAAGCGUUUUGUGACGGUACCUGGAGAAGAAGCACCGGCUAACUACGUG
rnacentral:rRNA from 1 species